rnacentral:tRNA from 1 species
GCCGGAGUGGCGGAAUGGCAGACGCGGCGGUCUCAAAAACCGCUAAGGGCAACCUUGUGUGGGUUCGACUCCCACCUUCGGCACCA